rnacentral:lncRNA from 10 species
GCUGUGCCAAGUUUCCGGAGGCUGUCCUGGUAUAGAUGUCAGCAAGCUCAGGCUUCUGCAGGCAAAGAGAUCUCAUCUUACCUUGUCUGAAUCCAUUAAUAAUGUCCCAGUCCCACUUAGCCCUCCCAGUGGCCUGAGGUGCAGUUCUGUGAGAAUAACCACUUGGUUUUAGUGGCUAUGAAGGGUUUGCAAUCACAUGGGUGAGCUGGCAUUUCAGAGCAUGAAAGAAAAUGAAACCAGCUCAAUCUCCCCAUAGAGACAAUAUUUAUAAGUUUUUUAAUAAAAGAAGAAAUCAACCCUCCUGGUCUUAAAAUUUGAAAUUUACAUUUGUCUCAUCUGAGUUCCUUCCCCAGGAAACCCACCCUCAGGCACGGAACUGAAACUCACCAGAUCACCGCAUCCAGAGGAUGAGAUCCCAGACCCCUCACUCAGCAGCAUUGCUUCCCUACUGCUUCCUAACUUCUUCCUGCAGUAUCCUGUAAUAGGUGGACUGUAUUCUCAAUGCUGGCAAUACAGCAGCAAGCCACAUCCACAAGGACCCCUGCCUAAGCAAGCUGGUUAUCUGGGUGUGUAUUACAAGCCAGAAACAAAUAAGCAAAAUACAGAGGAUGUCAGAUGAUGGUAACUGUGUCCAGAAUUGGUGGGUUCUUGGUCUCAGUGACUUCAAGAAUGAAGCUGCGGACCCUCGUGCAGAAGGCAGAUCGAAUACAGGGCAGGCUCCUUGGGCAAGAUCAACUUGCAUAAACCAAGUGGCACUGAAGACACAGAGGACAGGGCAAAGCAGCGGCUCUAUGUGCUAACCAAAUAUGGAGGCAGGGGAGCCGGAGUAUCAAAAACACCACAGCAAAACGUGACUGUAGCUGUUAAAGCCUAAUGCACACACCCUAUAAUCCAGCAAUUUCACUUCCAGAUGCUUCCCUAAGGAAGCCCUCAUGUGGCAAUCCAUUUGAAAGGAAAGAAGUGUCACAGCCCCUGAUUUACCAGCGAACAAAAAACACUUGUUAAUAAAUCUUCUGCACAAAGA